AAUUCAAGACUGUGAAGCGCGCCGGUAAUUCACAAGAACUUUCUCCCAGAUCUGGUCCUGUAGCUAAGAAGCGUAAAAUAAAGCACAAAGAAGACGGAGUCAACCACCCGGUAACAGGUACCAGCGCUUCAAAUCAUGACAUAGAUAAUGGUUCUGAAUUUAAAAUUGUUGGAAAUGAUACUACUUUGACAAAUUCUAACAAAGGAGAGCGGGAAAAUAUAAACAUGAAACUGGUAGAUGUCAG
rnacentral:misc_RNA from 1 species